AUGCAUACGGUAAAGGAAAAAGAGAGACAAGGAAAUGUAAAAAGAACAAAGGCAUGUGAUCGGUCUUCCAUAGACACCAGGACUCCCCUCUGUUAAAUGGAGGUGGACUGAGGACAACUUAGUCUCAAGGCUGGCCAGGCGUCCUUAUACCCUCCUGUGGAUUCCUCUGGCACGUUAGAUCUUAUUGGUGAUGCCAAAAUUGUUGUGGAUUUUUCUUAUUAAAGUGGGAGAGACGUCAACUCAUUAACAAGAGAAA